GUUCACAUGCUACGUACACCCUCUACCAGGAGUCUAACGUUCAGCAGUGCCCGGGUGCUCCAGCCCAGCUCUCCUCAACCUCCCCAGCAGACAGGGCCUGACCCCCACGGAGGGCUCCUUAACCUUGGCCAACUGGUCUGCAUGCCAAGGUCCUGAGACUACAGAUUUGCUCCUCACUUAGCGUGUCCAUUGAUACAGACAGACUUGCGUGUUAAGCAGCUCUAGGGAAGCCUGCAUCGCUCUGUUCUGCACACAGAGCAUGAAAGCACAGCGAGGAGAAGUGAAACAGAAAAUACACUCACCUGAAUCGCCUUAAGAAAAAGCCAAAUCACAUGAGGGAAUGAGUCAGCAGCAGUGGACUCUGGUGGAGAAAGUUCCCGACCAGUGCACAGACUCUCUUGCCAAGCCGGUAAACAAACUCCUGAAGCCCUAUGAGAUUGUUUUAUAACGAGAAUGUCAACACAGACAUUAAUUUAUUGAGCAAGAAAGCUGGGAAUGAACAAAAACAGAGAGUCUGAUCACACAGACUCUAAAUCUUCAAACUGGAUUGCAAUCCAAUGAUAACUCGAAACAGAGGAAGGGAGAAAUCAGGAGAAGAUGAAGGAGAAGACUGGCGUGAUCAUAAAGUUUACGUCCCUUGAGUUUAAGCCCCUUGAGUGGGGUUGGGAGCUUGUACCGGGAACCGAGGUUCUGGUGGAGAAAGUAGUUGGCAGUCAGCUUCAGGGAGCUUAAAUGGACUUAUUUAUUGAAAAACACUCACAAGUAAAAAUGCGAGAGUGCUUCCCAUUACACCCAUGUGGACCCACCGUGGCUUGCUGCGGAGCAGUCUGUGUGGAAUUAUGGCAGAAUUGGGUAACCACCUCUGGCUGCAGUGCAACUUUCCGUGGCUCCUCGUGCCAAGCAAAACUCAGCAUAAAAGCAAGACUAACGUAAGACAUCAUUUUGAGUGACGUGGUCAUAAAAAUGGAAUAGAACAAAAUGCUGAUGACCUUCUGAACUCUGGAUACCCUCGUUCCUCCCCUGCAGGAGCUAAGGACUGAAAUUCCUUUUGUUAUUUGGGAUGUUUUAUAAUUCCUUUGAAAAGUGUGCAAAUACACACUAAGAGUGGUCAGAAAACGCUGUGAAUGUAUAUUCCUGCAAAGCACUCGUUGUGUGUUCAAAGGGAGGGGACUAUUUUGAGGGAGAUUAAUAGCAAUUUGUCAUUUAUUAUAAUAAAAUUCUUUAAGUUGAAACA